GGGCAGAUAGCUCAGUCAGUAGAGCAUGAAACAAGACUCUUAAUCUCAGGGUUGUGGAUUCAAGCCCACUUUGGGCA